rnacentral:rRNA from 1 species
UAGAGUUUGAUCCUAGCUCAGGAUGAACGCUGGCGGCGUGGAUAAGGCAUGCAAGUCGAACGGACUUUUUAUUUCCGGAGAUUGAGAUUAUAUCAAGGUCAAAGGUCGUUUAAAGUUAGUGGCGAACGAGGUAGUAAUACAUAGGAACUUCCCCCUAAGUCGCGAACAACACAUCGAAAGGUGUGCUAAUACGCGAUAGUCUCUCCGGAGUAAAGUUUUUCGCUUAGGGAAAGGCCUGUGAAGUAUCAGCUAGUUGGUAGUGUAAUGGACUACCAAGGCUAUGACGCUUAGGGGAGCUGAGAGGCUGACCCCCACCGAUGGGACUGAGACACGGCCCAUACACCUACGGGUGGCUGCAGUCGAGAAUCUUCCGCAAUGGACGAAAGUCUGACGGAGCGACGCCGCGUGAUUGAUGAAGCAAUUCGUUGUGUAAAGAUCUUUUAUGAGGGAAGAAGUUUAUUGACUGUACCUCAUGAAUAAGGGGCUCCUAAUCUCGUGCCAGCAGGAGCGGUAAUACGAGAGCCCCGAGCGUUAUCCGGAAUUAUUGGGCGUAAAGGGUGCGUAGGUGGUUGUAUUAGUCGUUUGUCAAAUCUCUGGGCUUAACCCAAAGACCGCGAGCGAAACGGUACAACUAGAGAAUGUGAAAGGUAUAGGGAACUCAUGGUGUAGGGGUGAAAUCCGUUGAUAUCAUGGGGAACACCAAAGGCGAAGGCANNNNNNNNNNNNNNNNNNNNNNNNNNNNNNNNNNNUGCAUGGCCGUCGUCAGUUCGUGGUUUGAAUUGUUCCCUUAAGUGGGGUAACGAACGCAACCCUCGUCGUGUGUUAUAAGUGUCACACGAGACUGCCCCGACCCAAGCGCGGAACGCGCUUCAGUUGAAAGUUGAAAGUUUAUAAAGUUAUAAAGUGAAUGCAAAUGCAUUGACUUGAUAACUUUUAACUUUUUUACUUUAUAACUUGAAGCGAAUGUUAUUCGCUUCGGUCGGGGAGGAAGGAGAGGAUGACGCCAGGUCAGCAUGUCCCUUGAUACCUUGGGCUACACACAUAAUACAAUCGCAAUUACAACGGGCAGCGACGGGGUAACCCUGAGCGAAUCCUAAGAAAAAUUGCGCCAGUUCGGAUUGGGGGCUGCAACUCGACCCCAUGAAGCCGGAAUUGCUAGUAAUCGCGGGUCAG